UGAGUGCAGAAGAGGAAAGUGGAAUUCCAUGUGUAGCGGUGAAAUGCGCAGAGAUAUGGAGGAACACCAGUGGCGAAGGCGACUUUCUGGUCUGUAACUGACGCUGAUGUGCGAAAGCGUGGGGAUCAAACAGGAUUAGAUACCCUGGUAGUCCACGCCGUAAACGAUGAGUGCUAAGUGUUAGGGGGUUCCGCCCCUUAGUGCUGCAGCUAACGCAUUAAGCACUCCGCCUGGGGAGUACGACCGCAAGGUUGAAACUCAAAGGAAUGACGGGACCCGCACAAGCGGUGGAGCAUGUGGUUUAAUUCGAAGCAACGCGAAGAACCUUACCAAAUCUUGACAUCCUUUGACAACUCUAGAGAUAGAGCCUUCCCUUCGGGGACAAAGUGACAGGUGGUGCAUGGUUGUCGUCAGCUCGUGUCGUGAGAUGUUGGGUUAAGUCCCGCAACGAGCGCAACCCUUAAGCUUAGUUGCCAUCAUUAAGUUGGGCACUCUAAGUUGACUGCCGUGACAAACCGGAGGAAGGUGGGGAUGACGUCAAAUCAUCAUGCCCUUAUGAUUUGGCUACACACGUGCUACAAUGGACAAUACAAAGGGCAGCGAAACCGCGAGGUCAAGCAAAUCCAUAAAGUUGUUCUCAGUUCGGAUUGUAGUCUGCAACUCGACUACAUGAAGCUGGAAUCGCUAGUAAUCGUAGAUCAGCAUGCUACGGUGAAUACGUUCCCGGGUCUUGUACACACGCCCGUCACACCACGAGAGUUUGUAACACCCGAAGCCGGUGGAGUAACCUUUUAGGAGCUAGCCGUCGAAGGUGGGACAAAUGAUUGGGGUGAAGUCGUAACAAGGUAGCCGUAUCGGAAGGUGCGGCUGGAUCACCUCCUUUCU
rnacentral:rRNA from 1 species